rnacentral:lncRNA from 1 species
AAAGUGAGCAAAGGGAAUACUGUUGGGAUUCAAGAGUUCAACAAGAUGCAGUUUUAUAGAAGCUGUGUGAGGAAUCCUACUGAACCAGUAAUUAGAUUUCAUGCAGGUAAUUUGACUAUGAUUCCAAGACUUUUAGCUCACAUUAUUACAUGGCAACUCAAUCCUAGAGGUAGCAAUCAUGUUGUUCUUCAUGAGGAAGACUUGAUAUUGCUUUACUGCA